AACGAACGCUGGCGGCAUGCCUAACACAUGCAAGUCGAACGAGACCUUCGGGUCUAGUGGCGCACGGGUGCGUAACGCGUGGGAAUCUGCCCUUGGGUUCGGAAUAACAGUUGGAAACGACUGCUAAUACCGGAUGAUGACGUAAGUCCAAAGAUUUAUCGCCCAGGGAUGAGCCCGCGUAGGAUUAGCUAGUUGGUGGGGUAAAGGCCUACCAAGGCGACGAUCCUUAGCUGGUCUGAGAGGAUGAUCAGCCACACUGGGACUGAGACACGGCCCAGACUCCUACGGGAGGCAGCAGUGGGGAAUAUUGGACAAUGGGCGAAAGCCUGAUCCAGCAAUGCCGCGUGAGUGAUGAAGGCCUUAGGGUUGUAAAGCUCUUUUAUCCGGGAUGAUAAUGACAGUACCGGGAGAAUAAGCCCCGGCUAACUCCGUG
rnacentral:rRNA from 1 species